rnacentral:rRNA from 1 species
CACGUAGGGCGCAAGCGUUGUCCGGAAUUAUUGGGCGUAAAGAGCUCGUAGGCGGUCUGUUGCGUCCGCUGUGAAAACCCGGGGCUUAACCCUGGGCUGGCAGUGGAUACGGACAGACUAGAGGUAGGUAGGGGAGAAUGGAAUUCCCGGUGUAGCGGUGAAAUGCGCAGAUAUCGGGAGGAACACCGGUGGCGAAGGCGGGUUGCUGGGCUGACACUGACGCUGAUGCGCGAAAGCCAGGGGAGCGAACGGG